CCCCCCCCCGGGACAGCACAAUCUCACAUGCCCAUGAUCAGCUACAAUGUUCCACCUCUCCUUAUCACAUUCAUGUGGAACUGACCCACAGCCUCAGCCCUCAAUGACACCCAGAUUCCUGUCCAGGGAUGUGGGCCCUAUGAAGAGAAGCCACAGCCUUCUCCUGGAGGAGACAGAUGCAGAGGAAAUGCCUGCUGAUGCCCAGAGAGGUUGGAUAACAUUGCCUAAGCCACACAGAGGACUGAAGAGAGAGGCUGGAGCAGGAAGACUGGGUGCAGAAGCAUUCGGACACAUAAAUUAGGUCUUCACGUUUGCACAGCUAGAACUUCAAUUAUCGAGUGCCCAGCCUCUGUGUGCACAUCUGACCCUCACAAGAUUGCCACAGCAUCUCCCAGCUUCCUUCACCAAAAUCUAUG
rnacentral:lncRNA from 1 species